CAGUAGCCGCGGUAAAACGUAGGUGGCAAGCGUUGUCCGGGAUUAUUGGGCGUAAAGGGCUCGCAGGCGGUUUCUUAAGUCUGAUGUGAAAGCCCCCGGCUCAACCGGGGAGGGUCAUUGGAAACUGGGAAACUUGAGUGCAGAAGAGGAGAGUGGAAUUCCACGUGUAGCGGUGAAAUGCGUAGAGAUGUGGAGGAACACCAGUGGCGAAGGCGACUCUCUGGUCUGUAACUGACGCUGAGGAGCGAAAGCGUGGGGAGCGAACAGGAUUAGAUACCCCCGUAGUCCCUGUCUCUUAUAC
rnacentral:rRNA from 1 species